GCGGAGGCAGCAGUGGGGAAUUUUGGACAAUGGGCGCAAGCCUGAUCCAGCCAUUCCGCGUGCAGGAUGAAGGCCCUCGGGUUGUAAACUGCUUUUGUACGGAACGAAAAGGUCUGAGUUAAUACCUCGGGCUGAUGACGGUACCGUAAGAAUAAGCACCGGCUAACUACGUGCCAGCAGCCGCGGUAAUACGUAGGGUGCAAGCGUCAAUCGGAAUUACUGGGCGUAAAGCGUGCGCAGGCGGUGAUGUAAGACAGGUGUGAAAUCCCCGGGCUUAACCUGGGAACUGCAUUUGUGACUGCAUUGCUGGAGUGCGGCAGAGGGGGAUGGAAUUCCGCGUGUAGCAGUGAAAUGCGUAGAUAUGCCGAGGAACACCGAUGGCGAAGGCAAUCCCCUGGGCCUGCACUGACGCUCAUGCACGAAAGCGUGGGGAGCAAACAGGAUUAGAAACCCUAGUAGUCCU
rnacentral:rRNA from 1 species